UCUUCUCCCAUCUGCUGCAGAGGGAAGACUCUCUGAUGACAACUGGACGAAGCUCUCCUCUAAGAUAUCUGGCAGAGAUCUUGCCCACACCAAGGGAAUAGAAUAUAAGUGAUCUAGGAUGCCCUCUUUGACACCACAGCAUCACACUUUUCAGUGACCAAGAUUUGCAUCAUUCUUCUUACUGAGAAUGGAGCUGCUGACACUUUCAUCAAGAAAAUAUAUAACAGAUAAGAACAAUGGAAAUAAGGAAUCAAAAGCAGGGCAAGGAACUGGAACAUAUGCCGACAGUCACACUAGCAUUUCAAAAAUAAUAUUGCCUUACUGUUAGUGAUCUAUGGACUGGAAAAUUCAGCUCAGAUAAUAUAGAACAGGAUAAAUACUCAUAAGGAAAAUGGAUGACUGUCCAAGCUGCCAGCUGUCUCUGUCUACUCUUGCAAGACUCCCAAAA